AGAGUUUGAUCCUGGCUCAGGAUGAACGCUGGCGGCGUGCCUAACACAUGCAAGUCGAACGAAGCUCCUGCGACAGAUUCCUUCGGGAUGAAGAUGCUUGAGACUUAGUGGCGGACGGGUGAGUAACGCGUGGGUAACCUGCCCUGUACUGGGGGACAACAGUUAGAAAUGACUGCUAAUACCGCAUAAGCCUACGGAGUCGCAUGACUCAGCAGGAAAAAUUCCGGUGGUACAGGAUGGGCCCGCGUCUGAUUAGCUAGUUGGUGAGGUAAUGGCUUACCAAGGCGACGAUCAGUAGCCGGCUUGAGAGAGUGAACGGCCACAUUGGGACUGAGACACGGCCCAAACUCCGUACGGAGCA
rnacentral:rRNA from 1 species